AUAAAUCCCAACCAGUCACCCCUAGAUUUAAAGAGAAUCAAGUUUGGAUUUCAAAUUAAUUAUGCUUGAUUGUAGGGAAGAUAAUUAAGAAAGUUAGAUUUAGAGUGGAUCACGUUUUAUUAUAAGAAAAUCCACAGAGAAGAUAAUUGUUGUAUUUAGAUUAAUCAUUUGUUUAAAAUGCAGUGGCAUAGAGUUGUAAUUAUUUAGGAAAAAUCAGGAUUAAGUAUCAAAUGUACUUCAGUUUUAAUAGAUUAGAUUAGUGUAAAUUCUCAUGAAGAGCGUUUAUAAUUGAGAUGGGAGCAUAAAUAUGAUAAGUAAAACCACAUCGUUGAUUACUCAUUGAUCGAGCUAAGAUGUCUGCCACCUUGUUGUUUUCCCUUGGUGUCCAAGUAAAGUUGCAUGAUUGGAAUUUUGAUGACCAUGAUCCAUAUCACGCACCCAGUUAUGUAACUUAAAUUCUUCUUGCAUCCUUGGACUAAAUCAUGAAGUUCUUUGCAGUCUAAUUCAAAUAUGACGUGUUGAAAUCCCUUGCACCAAGUAUUCUGCAUCGCCAUUAGUAGUGCUUGACAUUCUGCUUCAAUACUGUUCGAUCUGUUGCCAAAAGCUCCUUAUCCCGAUCCUGUAUAAGUACCAUUUUCAUCUCGAGAUACCCAUCCUACUUUAGCUAUUCCAUCUCGCACAUUCCAACUUCCAUCAUAAGAAGAAGAAGAAGAAGUUAAUUAUUUUGAAAUAACGAAAAAGGGUAUUUCGUGAUGGAAUCGUUCGCGAGCGAGGAUGAGAUUGGAGGCUUGAGGAAGAGGAUGGACGAGUUGCUGACUCAAUUUGAUCCUUCCGAAUCUUCCUCUGUUUUCUCCACUACAAAUCAGGUUAACUCCAUCGUACUUAUGUUUUUCUCUGAUUUUAAUUACUUAACUCUGAUGGAUACCUGAUAUUAUUAUGUUUCUUCUGCAGCAGCACACGAAGGAUCAUUACUUCUUUGACAGCGCUGCAAAAAUCUCCUUCUUCUUUGAAGGUAUCCUUUAACCCCUAAAGCUUUUCAUAGUGUUCCAAUGGUGUUCUUGGCAAUUCUAUGCUGUUUGUAUGUGUGCAAGUGCAAUUUUACUUUGCUUGUAUGUGUGCAAGUUCUCUGUUCCUAACUUUGAUUUUUGUAUGCGUUGAAUUUGAGAAUGUAAGUUUUCAAAAUGCACAUGUGUAGGAAACUGCAAUCAUUUCUUUGUAUUGACUUAUUCAGGAUGCAAUUUUUGUAAAUUUUAAUCAUUUUAGUUGGAAUUAUCUACUCGUUUUGUUAUAAUCUAGCCAUUAGCUGCUUUUUGUACUGUAAAGAGUUGUUGUGUGUUUGAAACUCAGAAAAAGAUUUUGGCGACGAUGGGGAAUUGAAGCAACCAAAAGAGCUUCUAUAAACAAAGUUGGCCAUGGUAUUUUACUCAACAUGUUACUUUAGUUUAGUGUUGGGUGGAAAAACACGUCUGAUAAUGUUUUUUUUUUGUUGGCGCAGCACUGCACGAGCUUGACCCAUUGUAUAAGGAAUUCACGUAUUCGUCCAAGGUCUCAAGUUUGGUAUCAUCAUUUGGUCGUCAUGCAGUCCAUGUACAUUUUCAAGGUACUUUUCAAUUCACUUCUACACACAACUUAGAUCUAUGGUACAAUGUUGCUACAAAAUUCCAUAUGUUCACACUAUAUGUUGAUUUCUGUUAAUAACUAAUUAGGAACUGAUAUUAAUAUGGAAAUUUUCAACUGUUAUAUGUUUAUUUGAACUACUUCAGAACUAGUAUUUCUAGUUAAGUUAAAAUUUCAAAAGCUAUCUCUAGAUAGUGGUGUUGUCUCUUUGGAAUAAUAAACCUAAUAUGAGUUUAUCAACUAUGCAUUGGGGCAAUUGAUUUAACUACCAACCUGGAAUCGGAGGCGAAGUUGUGCCACACCAAGAUAAUUCUUAUGUGUACACGGAUCCACCUAGUUGUACUGGUCUUUGGAUGGCCUUAGAAGAUUCCACAACUCUUUAACGGUUGUCUUUGGGCGAUACCCGGAUCUCACAAGAGUUGAUGUUUAACCUCUAUGUCUUCUGUUCUUUGUGAUCUUUAUAGUUUCACGUAGCUAAACAUCUUUUCUUUCCUUUGCUUCAGACGGUCUGGUUAGAAGGUUUGUCCGGGGUGAAAAUGGUGUAACUUAUGAUCAGCCAUCCCCAUCUUACGAGCAGAAAGAUUUUGUACCUAUUGAAAUGAAACCAGGCUCAAUAAUUGCCAUUCAUGGUGAUCUAAUCCAUCAAAGUUUUGAGAAUCUAUCUCCUAAGUCGAGACAUGCCUAUAGCUUACAUGUAGUAGAAUCUGAUGGAUGCAAAUGGGCACAAGACAACUGGAUUCGAAGAGAAAACACACCUGAGCCUCUCUAUUCCCCUUAAUUACAAGCCAGUCGCGUUUAUCAAUUUUCUUCUGAACAAUAAUAAGAACAUGGCUAAAUAAGGCCCUUGUUGUGUCAUUUGCUUGUCGAAAUACAAUUUGUUUCUGCUUGGUUUCUGUAGUUCUGUCUUUAGAGUAUGAUCAGUAAAGUGUGGCAGUGAUUACUUGAUAUUUCUGUGAUUAUAGCUUUGAAUUCGUAGUAAUUAGACACUGAAGAAAGUCAUAAGAAGUGGCUAGACCCUAGAACCCAUGAGGCAGAAGAGAGUUUGAGAAAUAAAUGACCAUUGGAUACAGCUUUGUAUUUUUUGUUUCUCAAGACUUUUGAAAUGUUAAUGUGAUUUGAGGAAUGGGACAAAACUAUAUCUGUCCUGUUGUAAUUGUACUAGGAAAUAUAAAACGUGGGACUGAUCUUUUAGGUGCAGAAACAAUAUAUAGAGUCAAUAAAAGAGUUAUGGUCGAAGUUAUAAA